rnacentral:rRNA from 1 species
CCGCACGGUAAACGAUGAAUACUCGCCCUGUGCGAUACAAUGUACGGGGCUUAGCGAAAGCGUUAAGUAUUCCACCUGGGGAGUACGCCGGCAACGGUGAAACUCAAAGGAAUUGACGGGGGCCCGCACAAGCGGAGGAACAUGUGGUUUAAUUCGAUGAUACGCGAGGAACCUUACCCGGGCUUAAAUCACAUACGAACGUUCCGGAAACGGGACGGCCGCAAGGCGUAUGUGAAGGUGCUGCAUGGUUGU